rnacentral:lncRNA from 1 species
UUUAGAGUAAAAUUCUUGAAAUGCUUGAAGUUCUAGUUACUCUCAAGGAUUCUCUUUUCUUUGCCUUUUUUCUAUUUAGUGGCAGUUCUCAGACUUUUUCAUCCCUGAUCUUAACUCCAUCACAUUUAAAUUGCUGUCCACCUUUCUGAAUUCAUGUCCACAGGCAAACUGAGUGAUUCUGCAAUUAAUAAGAAACCUUUCUUGUUUCGUUCAAAACUGAAAUACAAAAUAAUGAUUUUUAGAAAUAAGGCUGAAGAAUGAAUCUUAAUUGUCCAUGUAAGACACAGAAGGUCUAAAGAAUUAUGGCCCCUAUCUUUGGGGAACUUCAAAUUUAGUGGGUAGGAUCAGAAAGCAAGCCUCACGGCAGAGAAUAAGGAAAUAAAAAAUAAUUUGGGAAGUGCUAAUUAAAGUAUAAAGAUCAAAGAUGCUAUCAAAAGAGGAAUAACCAAUUAUUUUAUGAGAGGCCCAAAUGGGAGCUAAAAUGUAUUGAUUGUCUAUUUAAUGUUAUUUCUGCCCUCUGAUGACUCUGAAAUUGUAGAAUGGAAAACAUAUCACACUGCCUAGAAUAUUGUAAAUGUGUUAUGAUGUCAGCUGUCAUUAAUUUUAUUUAAAUUUUCAUCCAUGAUACCUGUAGGUCUAUCAUAUAGUCUGUACCUGCAACAAUAACUCAUUACACUUUUGUUAAGUUAUUUCAUAACAUUAACCUAUCCAGCAAUUCUCCUGCUAGUAAAAUUUCCUAAAGUAUCCAAAACAUUAUUAUCCAAAGUACAGGUAUGAAGUCAUGAAUUGGUGUGAAUAUAUUGUGUAUACAACCAGAGAUAUGAAAAAUUGUACUCUAUAGUGUAAUAAGAAUUGUAAUGCAUUCCGCUGUCAUAUAUAAAUUUUUAAAAAAUACUUAAAAGACCACAUUCACUCAAAUGCUUACUUUUCAAUAAAUCCAUCUCUAGUAAAAUACUCAUGAUGCAAAAGAUCAGUAGAGGAUAUCCUCUCAGCAGGAUCAAUUUGUAAACAAGCCUAGAAAAUAAAAAAUAUUUUCAUAAUCAGUGAGUUCUAACAGGGCAAAAAUUAAAUUUAUUUGACAAAUGAUUCUUAGAAAUAGUCAAUUAUCCAGAGAUGAGAGAGAAAAGAUGAAAUUAAAGCUCAGGAAUUUCUGAGGGUAUGUUCUGAUCAUUUAUUUCCCUAAGAAAUUUUUACUUGCAAAGCAAUAUUACAGGUUAAAUAUUCAAUGAUUCUAGCCAAAGCAAAGCUCAGUGUGUUUCUGUGAUGAACAGAAAUUAUUUAGCUCGUUUUGGUCCUCUUAUCAGUGUUGUGUGGUAGAAAGUUCAUGAGAAAUCAUUUGCAUUUGACAGAUCUGGAAACAUGAUUAGUGAUAUGCUAAACUGGAUAAUUUUUUCUGUAUAUAUGAUACAGGGGAUCAAACCUAGAGACUCACAUGUGCUAGGCAAGUGCUCUACCACUAAGCUAUAUCUCCAGCCCUAAAGUAAUAUUUUAAAAUAGUAUUAUAAUUUAUGCAAAUUUCUCAGAUAUACAUUAUUAAUCUUAACAUACAUGAACUAUAUCUGCCAGCAAUCCAUUAAGUUUUGGAUAUUUUUUCCUUGAGCUUUGGGGGUGUUGAACUUCAGGAAGGACUACCCCAGCAAAAAUAGGACUCCUAGUAAAGAUAUUCUGCAAGUGAGGUGUCAAAUUGCCUGAAAAGAGAAAUACAUACUUAUAAGAAAACAUAGAAAUUAUCUACAAUCAAAAUAAUCAAAUUUCCAUGUGAUCUCCACUAAAUUACUAAAAACCGAGACAAGAAAGAGUAACAGUUUUUUAAAUUUUUCAAAGUUGAACAAGAAACUAUCUGAAUGUCAAAAAAUUGAGGUUUCGCUAGUAAACUGUUAAUAACACACAGGUAGCAUAAUAUGGAACAUCACGUUUGUUUUCUUUUCCCAAACUGUAAGACAUGUACUAUUAUCCCAAAAAGCAUUUUUAAACUUUUACAUAUUUCCUUAUUGGUAUCUAAAUAGUUGAACUACAAGUUCAUCAGCAAAACAGAUUAUAGCCUUACUCAAAACAGCUAAAACAUUAAAAAUUAUUUUAAAAUCAAAAUAUUACAUAAGAUGAAACAAGACUACAGACUAGUAGUAGAGUGGAAAGAACUAUAAAUAAGAGUGGAGAGAACUAAGGCUAGCAUCAGUUUUGCUAUAACUAGUUCUGUGACUGAGCAAAUCUCUUUUUUUUUUAUGGCUGAAUUUAUCUGUAAAAUUACGGGAUUAAUCUAAUUUUCUCUAAGAUUCCUUCUAACAUUAAUCUCCUAACCAGAACUUUAAAGAAGACACAAAAGAAGUUGAUGUUUUAAGGCUCUGAACAGUAUCUUAAGUCAAUAUUUAUCUAGAUUUCAUUGUUUUCAUAAUUGUUCCCAGUUCCUUCUUCAUAAUCCUGUAAUUAUGUUUAUGUAUAUCUUUCCUACCACACAAAGCAUUCCUUAAGCUCUUCAUUCAGAAAUAUUAAAAACAAAUUGUUGAAAUACCCUGUGCAAGGCUAACCACCAAAAUAUUUGAGUAGUUAAAGCAGAUCAUCAAAUAGUUAAAACUCUCAUCAAAUAUAUUUCUUUAAUUUUUGUUUGUCAUCAAAUAUAUUCUUUUUCUGAGUGUUGUAUUAGGGAUGGAAUCCAGGGCCUCAUGUAUGAUAGACAAGUGUUCUAACACUGAGCUAUGUCCCCA